rnacentral:lncRNA from 1 species
GAAAGAAUCCAAACGAUUUAACAUUUGGAAACGCACUAAAAAGAUCCUCAAUUCCUAAAAAAUUAGCAAAAAAGUAAAAUAAAAAAUAAAAAAAGACACAAUGCUCAAAUCACCCCUGCUUCUCUCUAUUCUUCUCGUCCUGAUACCUCUGUCAUCUUCGGACCCGAACCCGCCGACCCUGGCCCAUGCGGAGCUAACCAACUACGGGUUCCCGAUCGGGCUCCUUCCUGUCUCGGUUCAGAGCCACACUCUAAACCAAACCUCGGGCGAGUUCUUCGUUCAUCUGGGAGGUGCGUGUAGGUUGACGCUCCCGCCGGACAACUACC